rnacentral:rRNA from 1 species
GACGAACGCUGGCGGCGCGCUUAACACAUGCAAGUCGAACGGAAAGGCCUGCUUUCCCUUGUGGAUUGCGGGUACUCGAGUGGCGAACGGGUGAGUAACACGUGAGUGAUCUGCCCCCAACUUGGGUAUAAGCCUGGGAAACUGGGUCUAAUUCCCGAUAGGACUGCAGGGUGGUGCCUGUGGUGGAAAACGAUUUUCUAGUGGUUGGGGAUGAGCUCGCGGCCUAUCAGCUUGUUGGUGGGGUAAUGGCCUACCAAGGCGGCGACGGGUAGCCGGCCUGGGAGGGUGGACGGCGACAUUGGGACUGGGAUACGGCCCCGACUCCUGCGGGAGGCAGCAGUGGGGAAUAUUGCACAAUGGGCGGAAGCCUGAUGCAGCGACGCCGCGUGGGGGAUGACGGCCUUCGGGUUGUAAACUCCUUUCGACCGCGAGGAAGCCACCUGGUUGGAAGGGUGGUGACGGUAGUGGUAGAAGAAGCACCGGCUAACUACGUG